GUGCCAGCCGCCGCGGUAAGACGAAGGAUCCAAGCGUUAUCCGGAUUCAUUGGGUUUAAAGGGUGCGUAGGCGGGUUUAUAAGUCAGUGGUGAAAGCCGAUCGCUUAACGAUCGAACUGCCAUUGAUACUGUAGACCUAGAGUAUAGAUGAUGUUGGCGGAAUAUGACAUGUAGCGGUGAAAUGCAUAGAUAUGUCAUAGAACACCGAUUGCGAAGGCAGCUGACAAAACUAUAACUGACGCUGAUGCACGAAAGUGCGGGGAUCAAACAGGAUUAGAUACCCUGGUAGUCCGCACAGUAAACGAUGAUAACUAGUUGUUUGCGAUAUACAGUAAGCGACCAAGCGAAAGCGAUAAGUUAUCCACCUGGGGAGUACGCUCGCAAGAGUGAAACUCAAAGGAAUUGACGG
rnacentral:rRNA from 1 species